CUGGUGCAAGGCAGUGGUGGGAGUAGACUGCCCGGGAAACUGAGGCCAAAGCAUGUAAGAUCCUGCCCAUCCACAGAUUCACUCUGUCUAGCAAUCCUGAGUCUAAAAACAUCUCCACAGAACAGUUGUGCUUGCUGGAAUGCUAUUAUUGUCACAUAGGUGCUACUGUGCAGUGAAGAUGCGCUACCUUUUCUUAGCAUGUCUCUUCCUUGGCCUGCUGCCCAACUCAGGAAGUGAAGAUGUUCAUGAAGUAACUAGUACCCUGGACUGUAAAAAUUACAUGUUGUGUAAUUCUGAAAAUGCAAGUGGAUACUGCUCUGAUGUUCAGAAGGUGGGGCUGUGUGUCUUGCGUAUUAGUCAAACUCAACAGCAACAGUUGCUAAAGAAAUAGAAAACCAAGAAUGCAAGAUGAUCAACUCCUGUGAAGCAUUAAAUUAGGAAGCCUGUU